AAUAAGUGUAGUUUUACACUGUUUAUGUCUAACGUUUGACCGUUCAUCUUAUUUGAAAUUUUGUUAUGAUCAAUAUUUUUGUUGUUAUUAGAUGAUAAAACAUGACUUGUACUUUAUGUGUGACUAAUUUUAUUCUUUUCAUAAAUUUUUUAAAUAAGACGAUGGUCAAACGUUAGAUACGGAUAUUCACGGUUGCACUUAUU
rfam:Oryza punctata chromosome 5, whole genome shotgun sequence.